AAAAUCCGUCGACUUUUAAAAUCGUGAGGGUUCAAGUCCCU
rnacentral:tRNA from 4 species